UCAGCAUCUACUGCCCAGCCCAGAUUUGGAGGAGAGCUCCGCUGCUUCCUCCUGUAGGCAUCCAAGAAGCGACGAUGAGAGUUGCGUGGGAGUAGGUGUUGAGAGUGUCUUAUGUAGAGGAGGCGAAGUAUUUGAGUCCUGUACACCAACCUGUGAUAACUUGAAGCCUGACUGCCCUAAAGAGAGUUCUCCAGGAUGUGUCUGUAGAAGCGGCACUGUAGAUAGUGGCUUAGGUGAAUGUGUGGAAAUAGUAAAGUGUGAUUUCUGCAGCGGGAACACAACAUAUAUCCCAUGCGGCAGACCCUGCGCCCCUCAACAAAUUUGCGCAGCAGUCUGUGUUGAGAAGUGCGUCUGUAAACGCGGCUAUGUGUCCCUACCUAACAGCGACAGAUGUGUCCUUCGUCGGGAUCUCCCUUAAAGUAGAUACAACAUUUAAACCGUCUCAUGUGUGUCUUAUUAACAAUUGUCAAAAUGUUAUGUGACCUCAUCCAAUUAUAAGGAGAGGUGUCUGAUAUAAAUAAAGUGAUUGCAGACAUUGA